AAAAACCGAACCAUCGCCGGAGGAGCGAUGUGCGGGAGGGAGCCGCGGGCAGCAGCACCCACCGCUGCUGGGGCUGCGUGCGGGGACAGACGGUGACACCAGCCUCCGGCCACCCGGUGACCCGGCCACCAGGCGGGACAGCUGCCAUGCCUUCUGCUGUGGGUACGUGGUGGAGGGGCCGUGGGCAGCCUGUGGCAGCUCAGGCGGGGACAGUGAUGGGGGUGCUGUGAACAUGGGGCCGAGCAGUGCGAAUUGCCCCUGCUGCCACGGUGGCCGUGCUGGGGGCUGGGGGCCUGCUCUGGGUGCCCCUGACCCGGCUCUGGGCACAGCGCUGGGGCGGCUGGAGGCUCGCUUGCAGGGCCUUGGUCCUGGUCCAGUUCUUUUCGUUUCGUUUUGUUUUGCCUUCCUUCGCUUUGGGUGGGGACAGAGAACUUGGCCUCCAGAAGAACAGCGAUUCAGUGACUCCGAAGGUCUGUAUAUGUUCUCCUCCUGUUUUGUCAAGACUACCUUGUGACUCUGAAAGCAUGACAGCGAUGAAGCAAAGGAGAUCCCUGAGCAGAUGGCAGGUGAUUAGAAUGAGAUAAGGAAAUGGCAUGUCAUAUACUAAAAAUACAGAUGAGGGGUCAGCGACAUAUAUAAAUGCAAAGCAUCUUUUAUUUCAGUAUUGUUGAAGGAAUUUACCAACAUUCAUACCUGAAAUUUGGAAACAUGCUACUGUGUUUUUAGAUCAGCCCUGUGAAGUCUUUUUUUUGCAUUGGAAUUAAACUGUGAUUCUUCACUGUGCUCUAAAUGGAGUCAGAGCUGGUAUGCCACCAUGCCCCAGCGGAGGGCAGGCCACAAUGCAUUAUCGUAACUGGAGGACUGUAAUAAAGCAUGAUUUAAAAAC
rnacentral:lncRNA from 1 species